rnacentral:rRNA from 1 species
GAUGAACGCUGGCGGCGUGCUUAACACAUGCAAGUCGAACGGAAAGGCCCUGCUUUUGUGGGGUGCUCGAGUGGCGAACGGGUGAGUAACACGUGAGUAACCUGCCCUUGACUUUGGGAUAACUUCAGGAAACUGGGGCUAAUACCGGAUAGGAGCUCCUGCUGCAUGGUGGGGGUUGGAAAGUUUCGGCGGUUGGGGAUGGACUCGCGGCUUGUCAGCUUGUUGGUGGGGUAGUGGCUUACCAAGGCUUUGACGGGUAGCCGGCCUGAGAGGGUGACCGGCCACAUUGGGACUGAGAUACGGCCCAGACUCCUACGGGAGGCAGCAGUGGGGAAUAUUGCACAAUGGGCGGAAGCCUGAUGCAGCAACGCCGCGUGCGGGAUGACGGCCUUCGGGUUGUAAACCGCUUUCGCCUGUGACGAAGCGUGAGUGACGGUAAUGGGUAAAGAAGCACCGGCUAACUACGUG